rnacentral:lncRNA from 1 species
CUAAUAUGAAAGGGUUUUAUUUUUAUCCUGAGGUCUGGUAGGAGCCAAUGAAGCAGAGUUUUAAGCAGAGAUUAGAUAGAGUAAGACAUGGUUCUCUAGAUAAAGAGCCUUGAUUUUUAAGGCCCUGAGUGGAUUAAAGCCAUUGGUAAUGGGAAAAGAGAAGAGGAAAACAGACUUGAGAUUUUUUUAGUAAGUAAAUCUUUAGGAAUUGUUGGUUGCUUGGGAAAUGGGAGCUGAGAGAAUGAGAGUAGUAAAGGUGUAAGAAGGAUGUGGCUUACUAUUUUGUUUGGAUGUUAUCAACAUCUGAAGUAGAGAAUCUAGAACAGAGAUGGUGUGGGACUUCUUAAAUUUGAGGUGUCUUUGGGACAUACAGGUGUUGAUGGUGAUGCCAG